GACGAACGCUGGCGGCGUGCCUAAUACAUGCAAGUAGAACGCACAGUUUAUACCGUAGCUUGCUACACCAUAAACUGUGAGUUGCGAACGGGUGAGUAACGCGUAGGUAACCUGCCUGGUAGCGGGGGAUAACUAUUGGAAACGAUAGCUAAUACCGCAUAAUAUUGAUUAUUGCAUGAUAAUUGAUUGAAAGAUGCUAUUGCAUCACUACCAGAUGGACCUGCGUUGUAUUAGCUAGUAGGUGAGGUAACGGCUCACCUAGGCGACGAUACAUAGCCGACCUGGGAGGGUGAUCGGCCACACUGGGACUGGGACACGGCCCAGACUCCUACGGGAGGCAGCAGUAGGGAAUCUUCGGCAAUGGACGAAAGUCUGACCGAGCAACGCCGCGUGAGUGAAGAAGGUUUUCGGAUCGUAAAGCUCUGUUGUAAGAGAAGAACGGGUGUGAGAGUGGAAAGUUCACACUGUGACGGUAUCUUACCAGAAAGGGACGGCUAACUACGUG
rnacentral:rRNA from 1 species